CUCUGGACAUUGAACAUAGAAUAACUUCACAAUCACAAUUAAUGAAUGGCUACUUUUUUAUUUUGAAUUUAUUGAACCAUAAAAUUAUUUUUUGACUCUUCACAGCCACAAAUAAGGCUCAAAGAACGUUUGUAUAUUAUUUAUAUUAACAAUAACAACGAACACACAUGUUGGCGUAUAAAUACACGUCAGAGUGGGCAUGUCGCCAUAAAAAUUGACAACAUUGAUUAUAAAACUUAAUCUUUUAACCAAUCAGAAAACAGAAAAUACACCAAAUUUGUUUAUUACAUAAUGAAGGGUCUGCAUCUCAAAUGUUAAUAACAGAUCUUAUUCAUCAUCAUGGGUUUACAUUAAUCUUUGAGGAAGUCCUCACUUUUCACAGGAAAAGAUCGUUUAUAACAUAAUUAGUUACUAUAAACUUUAUAUGCUCUGUUCAAACAAACAAAAAAUAAAGGUCUUAUCUCGAAUGAAAUCUUAUAUACAUUUAUCAAAUCUCUCAUUGGAAAAAAACUUGCUCAAUAGCUUUGCAGGAAGUCAGUUUCUUCACAGGAAUAUAUUUUUGUAUAAAAUAGUUACUUUGGACUAAGGAUUAGUUCAAAAUAGUGAAACAGUGAUAAGUCCUCAUCUGAAUGAAAAGAUCAUAAAAAGCAUGGCAGGAAGAGAUUUAUUCUUAUCUUUGAACUUUGGACUUUGAUCAGUGCAAUACAUUUGUAAUUCAAACACAACGAUUGCUCUCCAUCUGUAUGAUAAAAUGCACACAUGGAUUUAACCAAUGCAAACAUUAAGCUGUCAUUAGGCUAAGAACUAUUAAGGUCAACAAUGACAGCCAUCUUUGAUUUUUAAUGUGUACAAAUGUAAGAAAUGUACCAAC
rnacentral:lncRNA from 1 species